rnacentral:rRNA from 1 species
UACGUAGGGUGCAAGCGUUGUCCGGAAUUAUUGGGCGUAAAGAGCUCGUAGGCGGUCUGUUGCGUCGGCUGUGAAAACCCGGGGCUCAACCCCGGAUCUGCGGUGGGUACGGGCAGACUAGAGUGAUGUAGGGGAGACUGGAAUUCCUGGUGUAGCGGUGAAAUGCGCAGAUAUCAGGAGGAACACCGAUGGCGAAGGCAGGUCUCUGGGCAUUAACUGACGCUGAGGAGCGAAAGCAUGGGGAGCGAACAGG